AAUCAACGCUGGCGGCGUGCCUCAGACAUGCAAGUCGAACGAUUAAGACUCUCUUCGGAGAGUGUAUAAAGUGGCGCACGGGUGAGUAACACGUAGGUAAUGUACCGAAGGGUGGGGAAUAACUUAGGGAAACUUAAGCUAAUACCGCAUAAUGCAGCGGCUCGACAUCGAGACAGUUGUUAAAGGAGCAAUCCGCCUUUUGAGCAGCCUGCGGCAGAUUAGCUAGUUGGUAAGGUAAUGGCUUACCAAGGCUACGAUCUGUAACCGACCUGAGAGGGUGGUCGGUCACACUGACACUGAAUAACGGGUCAGACUCCUACGGAGGCAGCAGUCGGGAAUUUUGGGUCGAAUGGCGAAAGACCUGACCCAGCAACGCCGCGUGAAGGAUGAAG
rnacentral:rRNA from 1 species